rnacentral:rRNA from 1 species
UUAAGCGACUAAGCGUACACGGUGGAUGCCCUGGCAGUCAGAGGCGAUGAAGGACGUGCUAAUCUGCGAAAAGCGUCGGUAAGGUGAUAUGAACCGUUAUAACCGGCGAUGUCCGAAUGGGGAAACCCAGUGCAAUUCGUUGCACUAUCGUUAACUGAAUACAUAGGUUAACGAGGCGAACCGGGGGAACUGAAACAUCUAAGUACCCCGAGGAAAAGAAAUCAACCGAGAUUCCCCCAGUAGCGGCGAGCGAACGGGGAGCAGCCCAGAGUCUGAAUCAGCUUGUGUGUUAGUGGAACGGUCUGGAAAGUCCGACGGUACAGGGUGAUAGUCCCGUACACCAAAAUGCACAGGCUGUGAACUCGAAGAGUAGGGCGGGACACGUGGUAUCCUGUCUGAAUAUGGGGGGACCAUCCUCCAAGGCUAAAUACUCCUGACUGACCGAUAGUGAACCAGUACCGUGAGGGAAAGGCGAAAAGAACCCCGGCGAGGGGAGUGAAAAAGAACCUGAAACCGUGUACGUACAAGCAGUGGGAGCACCUUCGGGUGUGACUGCGUACCUUUUGUAUAAUGGGUCAGCGACUUAUAUUCUGUAGCAAGGUUAACCGUAUAGGGGAGCCGCAGGGAAACCGAGUCUUAACUGGGCGUUAAGUUGCAGGGUAUAGACCCGAAACCCGGUGAUCUAGCCAUGGGCAGGUUGAAGGUUGGGUAACACUAACUGGAGGACCGAACCGACUAAUGUUGAAAAAUUAGCGGAUGACUUGUGGCUGGGGGUGAAAGGCCAAUCAAACCGGGAGAUAGCUGGUUCUCCCCGAAAGCUAUUUAGGUAGCGCCUCGUGAACUCAUCUUCGGGGGUAGAGCACUGUUUCGGCUAGGGGGUCAUCCCGACUUACCAACCCGAUGCAAACUACGAAUACCGAAGAAUGUUAUCACGGGAGACACACGGCGGGUGCUAACGUCCGUCGUGAAGAGGGAAACAACCCAGACCGCCAGCUAAGGUCCCAAAGUCAUGGUUAAGUGGGAAACGAUGUGGGAAGGCACAGACAGCCAGGAUGUUGGCUUAGAAGCAGCCAUCAUUUAAAGAAAGCGUAAUAGCUCACUGGUCGAGUCGGCCUGCGCGGAAGAUGUAACGGGGCUAAACCAUGCACCGAAGCUGCGGCAGCGACACUAUGUGUUGUUGGGUAGGGGAGCGUUCUGUAAGCCUGCGAAGGUGUGCUGUGAGGCAUGCUGGAGGUAUCAGAAGUGCGAAUGCUGACAUAAGUAACGAUAAAGCGGGUGAAAAGCCCGCUCGCCGGAAGACCAAGGGUUCCUGUCCAACGUUAAUCGGGGCAGGGUGAGUCGACCCCUAAGGCGAGGCCGAAAGGCGUAGUCGAUGGGAAACAGGUUAAUAUUCCUGUACUUGGUGUUACUGCGAAGGGGGGACGGAGAAGGCUAUGUUAGCCGGGCGACGGUUGUCCCGGUUUAAGCAUGUAGGCUGGUUAUCCAGGCAAAUCCGGAUAAUCAAGGCUGAGGUGUGAUGACGAGGCACUACGGUGCUGAAGUAACAAAUGCCCUGCUUCCAGGAAAAGCCUCUAAGCAUCAGGUAACAUUAAAUCGUACCCCAAACCGACACAGGUGGUCAGGUAGAGAAUACCAAGGCGCUUGAGAGAACUCGGGUGAAGGAACUAGGCAAAAUGGUGCCGUAACUUCGGGAGAAGGCACGCUGGUGUGUAGGUGAAGUCCCUGCGGAUGGAGCUGAGACCAGUCGAAGAUACCAGCUGGCUGCAACUGUUUAUUAAAAACACAGCACUGUGCAAACACGAAAGUGGACGUAUACGGUGUGACGCCUGCCCGGUGCCGGAAGGUUAAUUGAUGGGGUUAUCCGUAAGGAGAAGCUCUUGAUCGAAGCCCCGGUAAACGGCGGCCGUAACUAUAACGGUCCUAAGGUAGCGAAAUUCCUUGUCGGGUAAGUUCCGACCUGCACGAAUGGCGUAAUGAUGGCCAGGCUGUCUCCACCCGAGACUCAGUGAAAUUGAACUCGCUGUGAAGAUGCAGUGUACCCGCGGCAAGACGGAAAGACCCCGUGAACCUUUACUAUAGCUUGACACUGAACAUUGAGCCUUGAUGUGUAGGAUAGGUGGGAGGCUUUGAAGCGUGGACGCCAGUCUGCGUGGAGCCAACCUUGAAAUACCACCCUUUAAUGUUUGAUGUUCUAACGUUGGCCCCUGACCGGGGUUGCGGACAGUGUCUGGUGGGUAGUUUGACUGGGGCGGUCUCCUCCCAAAGCGUAACGGAGGAGCACGAAGGUUAGCUAAUCCUGGUCGGACAUCAGGAGGUUAGUGCAAUGGCAUAAGCUAGCUUGACUGCGAGCGUGACGGCGCGAGCAGGUGCGAAAGCAGGUCAUAGUGAUCCGGUGGUUCUGAAUGGAAGGGCCAUCGCUCAACGGAUAAAAGGUACUCCGGGGAUAACAGGCUGAUACCGCCCAAGAGUUCAUAUCGACGGCGGUGUUUGGCACCUCGAUGUCGGCUCAUCACAUCCUGGGGCUGAAGUAGGUCCCAAGGGUAUGGCUGUUCGCCAUUUAAAGUGGUACGCGAGCUGGGUUUAGAACGUCGUGAGACAGUUCGGUCCCUAUCUGCCGUGGGCGCUGGAGAAUUGAGGGGGGCUGCUCCUAGUACGAGAGGACCGGAGUGGACGCAUCACUGGUGUUCGGGUUGUCAUGCCAAUGGCACUGCCCGGUAGCUAAAUGCGGAAGAGAUAAGUGCUGAAAGCAUCUAAGCACGAAACUUGCCCCGAGAUGAGUUCUCCCUGAGACUAUAAGUCUCCUGAAGGAACGUUGAAGACGACGACGUUGAUAGGCCGGGUGUGUAAGCGCAGCGAUGCGUUGAGCUAACCGGUACUAAUGAACCGUGAGGCUUAACCUU